rnacentral:rRNA from 1 species
CCGGGAAUUUUGCGCAAUGGGCGAAAGCCUGACGCAGCGACACCGCGUGCGGGAUGAAGUACUUAGGUAUGUAAACCGCUGUGGCGGGGGAUGAAUUUUGACAGUACCCCGCUAGAAAGCACUAGCUAACUACGUGCCAGAAGCUUCGGUAAUACGUAGAGUGCGAGCGUUAUCCGGAUUUAUUGGGCGUAAAGGGUCAGUCGGCGUCCUUUUAAGUUUCUUGUUUAAGCCUGAGGCUCAACUUCAGAAAAGCAAGAAAAACUGGGAGGAUAGAGUCUGUUCGAGGAAACUAGAAUUCUUGGUGGAGGGGUGAAAUCCGUAGAUAUCAAGAGGAAUACCGCGCGCGAAGGCAGGUUUCUAGGACAGUACUGACGCUCAGAGACGAAAGCUUGGGUAGCAA